UUGACCUGCCGGACCUGACUGCUAUCGGAUUGGUACUAAGCCAUGCGAGUCGUUGUAGCAAUACAAGGCGGACUGCUCAGUAACACGUAGUUAACUUAACCUAUGGAUGGGAAUAACCUCGGGAAACUGAGAAUAAUACCCAAUGGGCCACAGUGCCUGGAAUGGCCUGUGGUUGAAAUGAUUUAUCGCCGUAGGAUAGGACUGCGGCCUAUCAGCUUGUUGGUGAGGUAAUGGCCCACCAAGGCUAUAACAGGUACGGGCUCUGAGAGGAGGGGCCCGGAGAUGGGUACUGAGACACGGACCCAGGCCCUAUGGGGCGCAGCAGGCGAGAAACCUUUGCAAUGUGCGAAAGCACGACAAGGUUAAUCCGAGUGUCUCCUGCUAAAGGAGUCUUUUGUCAGUUGUAGAAUCACUGGUGAAUAAGGGGUGGGCAAGUUCUGGUGUCAGCCGCCGCGGUAAAACCAGCACCUCGAGUGGUCAGGAGGUUUAUUGGGCCUAAAGCAUCCGUAGCCGGUUGCGUAAGUUUUCGGUUAAAUCUAUGCGCUUAACGUAUAGGCCGNCGAAAAUACUGUGCAGCUAGGGAGUGGGAGAGGUCACGGUACUCGAUAGGAAGGCGUAAAAUCCUUUGAUC
rnacentral:rRNA from 1 species